CAAGACAACCGCAUCAGCAGAGAGCAGAGGCAGCCAGCAGCCAUUUUAGAUUUUUAACUUUCCAGUUCCAAGAAUAAACCGUGAGAAGACCAUCAAAUCAAAUUACUUAUUUUACUUACUACAGUUUCUUAAGACAACAAAAUGAGCCAUCAUCGUGAAUGGGAUCUUUCCUGCAAGGUUUACGUCGGCAAUUUGGGAAAUAAUGCAUCAAAAAAUGAACUUGAGGAUGUAUUUUCCAAAUAUGGACCUCUGAGAAAUGUGUGGGUUGCAAGGAACCCUCCUGGCUUCGCUUUUGUUGAGUUUGAAGAUCCUCGUGACGCUGAGGAUGCAGUCAGGGGCCUAGAUGGGACCCGCUGUUGUGGGGUUCACAUGAUUGUUGAGAUGUCUAACGGACGUUCCCGCAGAUCUGGUGGCGGAAGAAGGCGAUCUCCCCCUGCCCGGGGUCGUUCCAGGGACGUUUCGCCGCAAAUCCAUUCUGCUUGCACUAAACUUCAAUCACCACCAACAUCAUUGUUGAGCCUCCAACCAACUUGAGCGUCUUCCCAACCACAACUUUCUUAAGCUAAGCCCCAACCAACAACCAACAACCAACCCUGCCCACCGCCCAACCAACUCAACCAACACACACUCUGGUCUCCACGCCGACGGUCUGUCUCGAGGUCUCGCUCUCGUAGCCCACCUCCACGCCGAUCUCGCUCCUACUCUCGGGACCGACGAUAAUAAGGUAAUACUUGUGUUGUUCUUCAUACAUUCACACAACGUCCAGUGGAAGAUUUCAAACUAGAUAUAGACCAUAUUUGUACAUUAUCUUUCAUUUUAUGUCAGUACAGAUCACAGAAGCAACAGUGUUGAUAAUGUUUGCAAAAACGAGUAUAAUUUAUCAAUUAAGUGUAUAAUUGUCCUAAUAAAGUUUGUUUAGCCAUAUCAUUUUUUUAUAUAAUUGUUUUAGUGAUUUUAAUGACUUAUGCAAAUAAAUAAUGUGCAUAAAU